UACGGGGGGGGCAAGCGUUGUUCGGAAUUACUGGGCGUAAAGGGCUCGUAGGCGGCCAACUAAGUCAGACGUGAAAUCCCUCGGCUUAACCGGGGAGCUGCGUCUGAUACUGGUUGGCUUGAGUCCGGGAGAGGGAUGUGGAAUUCCAGGUGUAGCGGUGAAAUGCGUAGAUAUCUGGAGGAACACCGGUGGCGAAGGCGGCAUCCUGGACCGGUAUUGACGCUGAGGAGCGAAAGCCAGGGGAGCAAACGGG
rnacentral:rRNA from 1 species